rnacentral:rRNA from 1 species
AUGAAACGUUGGCGGAUGCCUAAUACAUGCAAGUCGAACGGUGACGAUUUUGUAGUAAUACGAAUGAAAUCACAGUGGCGAACGGGUGAGUAACGCGUUGGUGAUCUGCCUCGAAGUGUGGAAUAACGCUCCGAAAGGAGCGCUAAUACCGCAUGUGCUCUCGAUGUUUAGAAAGUUGAGAGUAAAGGAUUUAUUCGCUUCGAGAGGAGCCUGCGUCCCAUCAGCUGGUUGGUAGGGUAACGGCCUACCAAGGCAAUGACGGGUAGGGGACCUGAGAGGGUGGCCCCCCACAAUGGAACUGAAACACGGUCCAUACACCUACGGGUGGCAGCAGUAGGGAAUAUUAGAAAUGGACGAAAGUCUGAUCUAGCGACACCGCGUGUGCGAAGAAGGCCUUCGGGUUGUAAAGCACUUUUUGGAAGGAAUAGGAAGGAAGGUACUUCCAGAAUAAGUCUCGGCUAACUACGUG